rnacentral:rRNA from 1 species
UACAGAGGUCUCAAGCGUUGUUCGGAUUCAUUGGGCGUAAAGGGUGCGUAGGUGGCGCCGUAAGUCGGGUGUGAAAUUUCGGAGCUUAACUCCGAAACUGCAUUCGAUACUGCGGUGCUUGAGGACUGGAGAGGAGACUGGAAUUCAUGGUGUAGCAGUGAAAUGCGUAGAGAUCAUGAGGAAGACCAGUGGCGAAGGCGGGUCUCUGGACAGUUCCUGACACUGAGGUGCGAAAGCAUGGGGAGCAAACAGG